UCAAGGUACGAAGUAUCAUCCGGAGCAGA
rnacentral:sRNA from 1 species